rnacentral:lncRNA from 1 species
UGCCCCUGCCUAGCGGAGGAGACUGGGACUCCCCACAUCUCUCUGUGUUCCCAGAUUGAGCCGGGCAAGAUCACAUCUGACAUCUGCACAUCUCAGCGCCCAGCCCCUGCCUGGCUCAGAGUGAAGUGUCUUCCAAUCCAUUGAAAUUUCUAGUCCCGGGGUCUCGAGGACACUAGGGCCACUGUGCAAUGGCAGAAGGAGCAUUGCCAUAGAAGUCAGGGGGCCUGGUUACAAGUCCUGACUUUAGUUGAGGACCUGCCAUAUGACCUUGAGCAAACUGCUGUACUUCUCUGGAUCUCAGUUUCUACAACCUAAUUCACUGGGCCCAGCCUGCAGCCUGCAAGCACCGGAUGAGUGGACGUGGCUGAGCAGCCAUGAGAAAGAUGUGGGGCUCUCCGGUGACUGUAGACCCAGCAUAAAUCAACAGUUCAAGGUGCUCAUCCCCAAAGCCAUGGUGAGACCUUAGCUGCUGUAAUAAAAGUGUAGUGCCAAAGUAAGGGCAA